GAUCAUGGCUCAGGAUGAACGCUGGCGGCGUGCCUAACACAUGCAAGUCGAGCGAGAAACUUUUAAAUGAAACUUCGGUAGAUUUUAAAAGCGGAAAGCGGCGGACGGGUGAGUAACGCGUAGGCAACCUGCCCUUUGCAGAGGGAUAGCAUCUGGAAACGGAUAUUAAUACCUCAUAAUACUAAACUAUCACAUGAUAGAGUAGUCAAAGAUUUAUCGGCAAAGGAUGGG
rnacentral:rRNA from 1 species